GAUGAACGCUGGCGGCGUGCCUAAUACAUGCAAGUCGAGCGAACGGACGAGAAGAUUGCUUUUCUGAUGUUAGCGGCGGACGGGUGAGUAACACGUGGAUAACCUACCUAUAAGACUGGGAUAACUUCGGGAAACCGGAGCUAAUACCGGAUAAUAUUUUGAACCGCAUGGUUCAAAAGUGAAAGACGGUCUUGCUGUCACUUAUAGAUGGAUCCGCGCUGCAUUAGCUAGUUGGUAAGGUAACGGCUUACCAAGGCAACGAUGCAUAGCCGACCUGAGAGGGUGAUCGGCCACACUGGAACUGGGACACGGUCCAGACUCCUACGGGAGGCAGCAGUAGGGAAUCUUCCGCAAUGGGCGAAAGCCUGACGGAGCAACGCCGCGUGAGUGAUGAAGGUCUUCGGAUCGUAAAACUCUGUUAUUAGGGAAGAACAUAUGUGUAAGUAACUGUGCACAUCUUGACGGUACCUAAUCAGAAAGCCACGGCUAACUACGUG
rnacentral:rRNA from 1 species